GAUCAGGAGAACUGUCUCUGUCUCUGAAGUUAGCUGGUUGAGGCAUUGACCCGUCGCUCUUCAUGGACACACAGCUGGGUUCUGUCUGUGUGGGAAGGAUCUGACAGAGGAAAGCUGUAGAGCUCUAUCUUCAGUUCUCAGCUCAAACUCCUCCAGACUGAGAGAACUGGACCUGAGUCACAAUUAUGACCUGCAGGAUUCAGGAGUGAAGCUGCUCUCUGCUGGACUGGAUAACCCACACUGUACACUGGAGAUACUGAGCAUUAAGGGAUGAAUCAUUCACAUUCAGAUGCAGACGUUCCACAGCAAUAACCGUAACUGAUCACAUCCUUUAUCCACUCAGCUCCACCUCACUUCAGGCUGGAAUAAUAAUAAUAACAAUAAUAAUAAUAAUAAUAAUAAUAAUAA